rnacentral:rRNA from 1 species
AGUGAACGCUGGCGGUAGGCCUAACACAUGCAAGUCGAACGGCAGCACAGUAAGAGCUUGCUCUUACGGGUGGCGAGUGGCGGACGGGUGAGGAAUACAUCGGAAUCUACUUUUUCGUGGGGGAUAACGUAGGGAAACUUACGCUAAUACCGCAUACGACCUACGGGCGAAAGCAGGGGAUCUUCGGACCUUGCGCGAUUGAAUGAGCCGAUGUCGGAUUAGCUAGUUGGCGGGGUAAAGGCCCACCAAGGCGACGAUCCGUAGCUGGUCUGAGAGGAUGAUCAGCCACACUGGAACUGAGACACGGUCAGACUCCUACGGGAGGCAGCAGUGGGGAAUAUUGGACAAUGGGCGCAAGCCUGAUCCAGCCAUACCGCGUGGGUGAAGAAGGCCUUCGGGUUGUAAAGCCCUUUUGUUGGGAAAGAAAAGCAGCAGGUUAAUACCCCGCUGUUCUGACGGUACCCAAAGAAUAAGCACCGGCUAACUUCGUG